UUAUGAUAAAUGUUAGUUACAGGAUCAUGGGCAUAGGGAAACAAAGACCCAGGUUCUCACAGUUGCUCAAGUUGAAGCCAAGAUUAUAUCCAGGAGCUUAACUCAAAAAUCUGUGCUCUCAAUCACUGACAUUUCCUCACUGAAGUGAAAGUCACUCAAUCGUGUGACCCCAUUGACUAUACAGUCCAUGAAAUUCUCCAGGCCAGAAUACUGGAGUGGGUAGCCUAUUCCUUCUCCAGCAGGUCUUCCCGACCCAGGAAUCAAACCAGGGUCUCCUGCAUUGCAGGUGGAUUCUUCACCAACCGAGCUAUCAGGGAAGCCUCAGUGAAACAAGAAGCAAAUUAAAAAAAUCCUUACAUCCUCGUGCAUUAAAUGGGCAACACUCAGGGAUGAUUCACAAGAUGAAAAACACAGUUUAGUAAGUACACGGUAGGGUGGGGAAGAAGUACACCCAAUCAGAAGAUUUAUUAUGCAAAAUAUUUCAAAACACAAUGUAUGAUAAGGGCACAUGAUCGUUAGAAGAUAUUUAACAUAAAAACACUCAUGCUGGGACUUCCCCGGUGGUCCAGUGGUUGGGACCUUGCCUUCCGAUGCAGGAGGCAUAGGUUUGAUCCCUGGUCAGGGAGCUAAGAUCCCCAGAUGCCUCAAGGCCACAAAAACCAAAACAUAAAAAAAAAAGGAAGCAGAGGCAAUAUUGUAACAAACUCUAUAAAGACUUAAAAAUAGUCCACAUCAAAAAAACUUUUAAAAAAUUAAAAUGCUAAAUCAGAAGAGCACAAUAAUUGAAAAGCAUCACCACACCUGAAAUGUGCCAAUUAAAGCAAGACAAUCAGAAGGGAAAAAAUUAGAUAGGAAGUCAUUGGCAGCUACCCCCAUCCAAGUCUUUUCUCCACCUAAUAAAGAGAGAGCUCAGCUUGAGGACUGCAAAAAAUCCUCCUAAGGAACUUCUCUGGCACUCCAGUGGUUAGGACUCAGUGCUUCCACUGCAGGGGGCAUGGGUUCCAAGAUCCCAGAGGCUGCUGCUUGGCCAAAAAAAAUGACAAAAGCCUUAUGCCAGCCAUUAAAACUUGCAAUGUUCAGUGCUACAGAUUCGACCAAUGAUUGCCACUGACUUAAAAGACAAGACAGAGAAACAGGCUGGAUAGUUGGUACUCACCUCCCUCCAGCUAGGACCCAGUUGCAGCCUGUGGGUAUUUCACACAAAUGAAAUCUCCAAUAAGAAAAGUCCCCCACCAGCCUGUGCUCUGGGAUUGGCCCCUAGGCCCCGGGGUGAGGGCUGGACUUCCUGCCCAGGCUGAAAUGGCCCUCCUACUAACAGUGGCUGGUUCUCAAUCUUGAAAAUGCGACUCACAUUGCAAUCGCCCAGGUCCUGCCCUUGGUGAUCCUAAUUGAAUUGGUCCGGGGUGGGCUUUAGGAAGCCAGGAGGCUUCCAAAGCUCCUCAGGUGGCUUAGUAGUAAAGAAUCCACCUGCCAAUGGAGGAGCUGCAGGAGACCUGGUUCAAUCCCUGGGUCGGGAAGAUUCCCUGGAGAAGAAAAUGGCAACCCACUCCAGUAUUCUUGCGGGAAAUCCCAUGGACGGAGGAGCCUGACGAAGUCCGUGGGGCUGCAGAGUCAGACUUGACUUAGCGACUGAGCACAUGCAAGUUUCUUUCUGUUUUUUUGUUGUUGUUGUUGAUUUUUUUUCAUGAGUCAGGUUUUUUUUUUUUUUACCAGCUUUUGAAAACAUAAUUAACAAAUAGACAUUUUAUAUAUUUAAGGUGCACAA